rnacentral:rRNA from 2 species
AACGCCGGCGGUGUGCCUAAUACAUGCAAGUCGUACGCACUGGCCCAACUGAUUGAUGGUGCUUGCACCUGAUUGACGAUGGAUUACCAGUGAGUGCGGACGGGUGAGUAACACGUAGGUAACCUGCCCGGAGCGGGGGAUAACAUUUGGAAACAGAUGCUAAUACCGCAUAACAACAAAAGCCACAUGGCUUUUGUUUGAAAGAUGGCUUUGGCUAUCACUCUGGGAUGGACCUGCGGUGCAUUAGCUAGUUGGUAAGGUAACGGCUUACCAAGGCGAUGAUGCAUAGCCGAGUUGAGAGACUGAUCGGCCACAAUGGAACUGAGACACGGUCCAUACUCCUACGGGAGGCAGCAGUAGGGAAUCUUCCACAAUGGGCGCAAGCCUGAUGGAGCAACACCGCGUGAGUGAAGAAGGGUUUCGGCUCGUAAAGCUCUGUUGUUGGAGAAGAACGUGCGUGAGAGUAACUGUUCACGCAUUGACGGUAUCCAACCAGAAAGUCACGGCUAACUA